AUUGAACGCUGGCGGCAUGCCUUACACAUGCAAGUCGAACGGCAGCACGGGGGCAACCCUGGUGGCGAGUGGCGAACGGGUGAGUAAUAUAUCGGAACGUACCCUGGAGUGGGGGAUAACGUAGCGAAAGUUACGCUAAUACCGCAUACGAUCUAAGGAUGAAAGUGGGGGAUCGCAAGACCUCAUGCUCCUGGAGCGGCCGAUAUCUGAUUAGCUAGUUGGUGGGGUAAAGGCCUACCAAGGCAUCGAUCAGUAGCCGGUCUGAGAGGACGACCAGCCACACUGGGACUGAGACACGGCCCAGACUCCUACGGGAGGCAGCAGUGGGGAAUUUUGGACAAUGGGGGCAACCCUGAUCCAGCAAUGCCGCGUGAGUGAAGAAGGCCUUCGGGUUGUAAG
rnacentral:rRNA from 1 species